GAUGAACGCUAGCUACAGGCUUAACACAUGCAAGUCGAGGGGCAGCGGUAUCGAAAGCUUGCUUUCGGUAGCCGGCGACCGGCGCACGUGUGAGUAACGCGUAACGAACCUGCCUCAUACUCGGGAAUAGCCUUGCGAAAGUAAGAUUAAUGCCCGGUGUUUUCAGAGUCCCGCAUGAGGCUUUGAACAAAGAUUUAUCUGUAUGAGAUGGUGAUGCGUUCCAUUAGCUUGUUGGCUGGGUCACGGACCACCAAGGCAUCGAUGGGUAGGGGUUAUGAGAGGAAGGCACCCCACAUUGGAACUGAGACACGGUCCACACCACUACGGGAGGCAGCAGUGAGGAAUAUUGGUCGAGGGGCGGAAGCCUGAACCAGCCAAGUAGCGUGCAGGAAGACGGCCGUCCGGGUUGUAAACUGCUUUUAGUUGGGAAUAACACGGGGCUAGUGAGCUCCCUUGAAUGUACCAUCAGAAAAAGGACCGGCUAAUUCCGUG
rnacentral:rRNA from 1 species